rnacentral:rRNA from 1 species
UACGGGGGGGCAAGCGUUGUUCGGAAUUACUGGGCGUAAAGGCUCGUAGGCGGCCAACUAAGUCAGACGUGAAAUCCCUCGGCUUAACCGGGGAACUGCAUCUGAUACUGGAUGGCUUGAGUUCGGGAGAGGGAUGCGGAAUUCCAGGUGUAGCGGUGAAAUGCGUAGAUAUCAGGAGGAACACCGGUGGCGAAGGCGGGUCUCUGGGCCGAUACUGACGCUGAGGAGCGAAAGCGUGGGAGCGAACAGG